UACGAAGGGACCUAGCGUAGUUCGGAAUUACUGGGCUUAAAGAGUUCGUAGGUGGUUGAAAAAGUUGGUGGUGAAAUCCCAGAGCUUAACUCUGGAACUGCCAUCAAAACUUUUCAGCUAGAGUAUGAUAGAGGAAAGCAGAAUUUCUAGUGUAGAGGUGAAAUUCGUAGAUAUUAGAAAGAAUACCAAUUGCGAAGGCAGCUUUCUGGAUCAUUACUGACACUGAGGAACGAAAGCAUGGGUAGCGAAGAGGAUUAGAUACCCUCGUAGUCCAUGCCGUAAACGAUGUGUGUUAGACGUUGGAAAUUUAUUUUCAGUGUCGCAGCGAAAGCGAUAAACACACCGCCUGGGGAGUACGACCGCAAGGUUAAAACUCAAAUGAAUUGACGGGGACCCGCACAAGUAGUGGAGCAUGUGGUUUAAUUCGAAGAUACGCGCAGAACCUUACCAACACUUGACAUGUUCGUCGCGACUCUAAGAGAUUAGAGUUUUCGGUUCGGCCGGACGAAACACAGGUGCUGCAUGGCUGUCGUCAGCUCGUGUCGUGAGAUGUUGGGUUAAGUCCCGCAACGAGCGCAACCCUCACUUUUAGUUGCCAUCAUUAAGUUGGGCACUCUGAAAGAACUGCCAGUGAUAAGCUGGAGGAAGGUGGGGAUGACGUCAAGUCCUCAUGGCCCUUACGUGUUGGGCUACACACGUGCUACAAUGGUAUCUACAACAGGAAGCAAGACUGCGAAGUUAAGCAAAUCCCUAAAAGAUACCUCAGUUCGGAUUGCACUCUGCAACUCGAGUGCAUGAAGCUGGAAUUACUAGUAAUCGUGGAUCAGCGUGCCACGGCGAAUGCGUUCCCGGGUCU
rnacentral:rRNA from 1 species